UUUCAUUGGACUAUUUAAUUAUCGCGGGAGCUGCCACUUUUUGCAGGUUAACGGUUACGGCUCAGUGCGCGCCAAGUCUGUCUCUCAAGUCUGCCUUCCACGGACCACGGAGCUGUAUGUACAUGAGCGGAGGAUCACAUCUGUAGCACUGGACGAUCAUGCUAUUCUUCAAGGCGAUUCAUGCUGAGUGUGGAUCGAAACAUAGUACAGGACAACAUCCCCUCCUUGGUUUCUGCCCUGUCCAUGAUGUUUGGGAGCUAUUAUUGCUUCAACAUCGCCUACCCGUCAGAGCUGGCAUCCACCCUGGAGUUUGUCCAGAGGUGUUUUUUCUCCAUCAACCCAGAGAAGGCACCAAAGUGAAGAAGACACGUGCAUCCCGUCUUCAGGUGAACCCGAGAGUCCUCACCUUGAUACAGGAACUUUCGGACCAUGAGUGGCGUGAUGUCUGAAUAUGGACAGUAAGAUCAAUGGCAUGUAGCGAUGUGCCCAAGUUACAGUUUGUUUGAUUGUUUAAAUCGUAGUUAACAUUUGAAGUGCCUUUUUUUUCC